ensembl:misc_RNA Metazoa_SRP Metazoan signal recognition particle RNA
GCCAGGUGCGGUGGCGCACGUCUGUAAUCCCACACUUUGGGAGGCCGAGGUGGGUGGAUCACCUGAGGUCAGGAGUUUGAGACCAGCCUGACCAACAUGGUGAAAACCCAUCUCUA